CCUCGGGCCCAGGUAGUCGUUCUGCAUGGAGAUCUGUCGAGAGAGGACGAACAAUGACAGCGUGUGUCAGCACCAGACUGUACCUGCAGUAAACCUAUAGGACGACACACAGCAUGACUUAUUCAUGUGUCUGUGAGACAGGAGGGCAGAGAUCCAGCAUGUCUCUCACAACCCAGAGACUCACAGGAAGGUGUUCACAACAAUCGAGGGAUCGCCACAGUGGAUCAUCUGCC